UUUAUGUAAUUAAUUUAAAGUCUAACCUGCCCACUGAAAUUUUUUAAAUGGCCGCAGUAUUUUAACUGUGCAAAGGUAGCAUAAUCAUUAGUCUUUUAAUUGAAGGCUGGAAUGAAUGGUUGAAUGAAAUAUUAACUGUUUCAAUUAAAUUUAAAAUAAAAUUUUAUUUUUUAGUGAAAAAGCUAAAAUUUGAUUAAAAGACGAGAAGACCCUAUAAAUCUUUAUAUUUUAAUAAUUUUAAUUAUUUAGAUAAAUUUAAUUAUUAUUAUUUAAAAUAUUUUAUUGGGGUGAUAUUAAAAUUUAAAAAACUUUUAAUUUAUUAUUAACAUUAAUUAAUGAAUUAUUGAUCCAUAAAUUAUGAUUAUAAAAAUAAGUUACUUUAGGGAUAACAGCGUAAUUUUUUUAGAGAGUUCUUAUUGAUAAAAA
rnacentral:rRNA from 1 species